AACCGCGCUUUUCUUGUUGUAUAUGCGACACAGUACCCAGUCAUCCAGCUGCAAAAUUAUAAUCAGGUGCACACAUUUUCAUCAAUUUAUUUAUUUAUUAAUUAAUUUUCAAUAUCCCUAACUUAAUCGAGAUAAGAACGAAUCAUUUCCUUAAGUAGAAACUAAUGAUUAGUCCGCCACGUUUUAUAUUAUUUUUCAAGUGAUUCCUCUUUAUCAAGUUAUUAUCGUAAUCCGAAACUUCUUAAUAUGUGAACCAAUGAACCAGUAGCAUUUAAUAAAGGGCAAAACAGUAGUUUCGUGCGUUAUGUUUUUCUUUUCUUGGAAAGGUCUAUUAUAUCCUUUGUAUUUGAAGAGAGAAAAAGGGUAUAUUAGUAUAUAUAAUACACCCACCCUCAAGCUGUUUUUUCUGCGAACGGAACGGUCCACCUCGGCGAGACGAUACUCGUGCAUGAUCCAGUUUGUCUUCUCUCCCUUGGGCGCUUUUCCAGCGUAAAACACCAAGGCUUUUUUUAUACCAACCGGUUUCGGUUUACCAAUCGGUUUAUCUGCUCCGGUUGCUUUCCAGUACCCGGUUCCCGCGGACCGGUUCGGCCGCGAACCGUUCGGAUACUUUCGGUCCCUCGGCGAGAAGAAAUACCACUCUUUCUCUCCGUACAACGCCAUUCCUGUACAAAAAGAACAGUUAUACAUUUCACAGAUGAAAUAAUAAAAUAAGAAAGCAAUAAAAUAUUUAAAAGCAGUAAUUUGAAUUUGGAAAUUACCAGGGAGGUACCAAGGGUCGUAUUUGUAGAGGUCGAUUUCGGCGAUUAUGGGAACGGCGAUUUGUUGGUUGAGGCAUUUGCGGCAGAGGUAAUGAACGACGAGUUCUUCGUCUGUAGGGUGGAAUCUGAAUCCUGGGGGAAAGUGAAGUUGCG
rnacentral:lncRNA from 1 species